rnacentral:rRNA from 1 species
AGAGUUUGAUCAUGGCUCAGGACGAACGCUGGCGGCGUGGAUUAGGCAUGCAAGUCGAGCGGGUAAAUGAUCCCUUCGGGGUGAAACCAAGCGGCGAACGGGUGAGUAACACGUGAACAAUCUGUCCCUACAUUCCGGAUAAUAGACCGAAAGGCCUUGUAAUACGGGCGAGGAUGUUUGAGAGGCAUCUCUUAAACAGGGAAGGUGCAACGCAAGUUGUGCCGUGCAGGGAGGGGUUCGCGGCCUAUCAGUUAGUUGGUGGGGUAACGGCCUACCAAGACGACGACGGGUAGCUGGUCUGAGAGGAUGAUCAGCCAGACUGGGACUGAGACACGGCCCAGACUCCUACGGGAGGCAGCAGUAGGGAAUUUUCCACAAUGGGCGAAAGCCUGAUGGAGCAACGCCGCGUGCAGGAUGAAUGCCUUCGGGUUGUAAACUGCUUUUAUAUGCGAAGAUUAUGACGGUAGCAUAUGAAUAAGGAUCGGCUAACUCCGUGCCAGCAGCCGCGGUCAUACGGAGGAUCCAAGCGUUAUCCGGAAUUACUGGGCGUAAAGAGUUGCGUAGGCGGCAUCGUAAGUAGAUAGUAAAAGCCUGGGGCUCAACCCCUUAAAUAUUAUCUAAACUGCGAAGCUAGAAUAUAGAAGAGGUAGCUGGAAUUCCUUGUGUAGGAGUGAAAUCCGUAGAUAUAAGGAGGAACACCGAUGGCGUAGGCAGGCUACUGGUCUAUUAUUGACGCUAAGGCACGAAAGCGUGGGGAGCAAACGGGAUUAGAUACCCCAGUAGUCC